CCUUGUCCACUGGUUUUACUCCAUCUUUCCCCGUUGCCAAAUUUGUGGCUGCAGCCCCAAUCUACCAAGUGCCUCCUCCAUUUUUUUGCAGAAGGUAUACCGCAGAUCCUGCUUCCGCUUUCUUACUCUGUCUUUCCUUGAUGCCUGUCGUCUUGCUGCCGAAUUUUGGACUAGGUCCUAACCUACCAAGCCCCUCCUCAUACACUACACCAGGGGUGUCCAAUCUUAUCCGCAAAGGGCCGGUGUGGGUGCAGGUUUUCAUUCCAACCAGGCAGGAGCCACACCUGAUUCCACCUGUUUAAUCAGUUGAUCUUGGCUUUCAGUAGAAUGAAAACCUGCACCCACACCGGCCCUUUCUGGAUAACAUUGGACACCCCUGCACUACACCUUUUACCUUGUUGACCCUCUUAAUCUCUGCCACAACCACAACCAAUCCCAUUUAAGCAGCAAAUUUUGUGCCACUCAGAAUCCGGCAACUGACAUUUCCGAGGGCUGAAAUGUUCCAGGUGGCUGAUCUUCCAAUGUUUCAUCUCCACACGACACUUUUAAUAUCACGACCGAUUGCAAGGUGCACCUCUCUUAGUUAAGAUCCGUCCAAAUCUUUUAGCAGUUUGCAUUAACAGGGACCAUAGAUAAAUGUGCAUACUAAAAUGACGUCUUAGGUAGCCUACGCAUAGCCUCAAGCAUAGUCUGGAGUUUUAGGUGAGUGUAGCUCACUCUUAGGCAUGUGCCAAUAAUCAGUCGUACGGUAUAUCACGAUAUUUUGUAAAAAUCACCUUGUUAACAAGUACACUUUGGCUCUUGUAUUGUGCACUACAUUAUUUAACCCCUUAAGGAAGGAAUGGGGAAUAGGCAUCAAUCACAUAUAAUUUAUUAGGCAACAUAAAGACAGUGGUCUUCUAAAGGCCCUUAUUUUUGAAAGUGUCCUUAUCAGAGAAGGCAAUCCUAUCAUUUUGUUCUCGAGACGAAUAAAAUGCGUCCAGGGGAAAAAAUUGUAGCUUUUAGCGAUAUUUUUUAAUACUAUAUCGUGAUAAUAUCGUAAGCUUUGAUAAUCAGCACAUGCCUAGUGGUUAUAGGAUACAGCCAUUUAAUGGCCAUUUUAUUCUGAUUAUAAAUAUCUUUAAUAGUGCAUUUGCCUGAUUGUUUAAGCAAAAGCAUGCGAUGCUGAUGUUCAUGUGAGGUAAUGCAACUUGCACAAUUGCUCAAUUUUAAUUUCAGUUUUUUUCUUUUAACCAAAAAUUUGAAAACUACCCAAGCAUUCAAACUCUUUGCUAAUUGUGAAACAUUUAGCCGCUCGUUUAAUUUAUUCAUUUUGUUAAUGUAUUUUGCAAAGAUUUCUGCUUAUGAGGAAAUGUUUAAAGUGGGUUUUUUUUAAAGCCCUUAAUUGGAAGAAAAUGGUUUUAAAGCUAAAAUAAACACAAAGUAAACACUAAACACUUUUCCCCCCCAAAAUCAACCACGGAUUGACAAGCUAAAUCGUUAAGUAUUAAAUGACUUUUUAUUACUUUUAUUUUUAAAUUCCUGACAAAAUAACGGACAUUUUGAGCGAGAAAUAAAAUGGUAAAUUGUUUCAGUUUUGUCAACAUGAAAUGUAGACAGCUUGUGAAUUGCGACCACGAUGAUUAUUAAAGGAAUAUUUAAAUGAAAAGAAAUUGUACACAAUGUUCCUCUUGUCUCAGAUUUCAUCAGUCAGCCAUUUUUUGUGUCUGAAGUUUAGGUUUGCGCCAGCGCUACGAGUCCAGUGUAGCUAAGAAGUAGUUGAUGGACAGCCAUCUCAUUCGUAAACAUCUACUUGUUUCAAACAGUAUUAACAAACUACAUAAUCUGAAUUCUGUGGAAACGAUGGUGUAAAAUAUUAUAUUAUACCCUGCCUCAUAAAAUUUGUAGGUGAAAUCUGGACAAUAAAGUUCUGUUUAAAAAAAUAAUAAUAGUAGACCUCAGGAAAAAUUUAGCUACAUAAUGUCCAAUUCUUGCUUGCUACAUUUUCAACUAAAGACACAAACUUGUUUUGGCUGAUUUGCAUUUCCGAGUGAGCGGGAAAGAUGAAUAUUUCCGGUUUGUUUGGGGUUUUUUUCCUUCCAAGUGCUAAAACUUGGACUCCUGGAAUCCUGGACUUGGGCUGCGUUUAAUUUCAUUUGGUGGACCAUUGCUUCGGAGCAGUAUAAGACACUUCAGGAGUAACUGAACUGCUGCUUUCAUGAUGCCAGUUAUGAUGUCUUGUUAAUAGAUGCUUGUAAUAAAAUUGUAAUUAUCACUAAUAGUCAAUAUUAAAUAAAAAUAUAUAUAUAUAUAUAUGAUGUACAGUUCAUAGUUCUGUAUAAAAAUGUCUUGUUUAUCCUCAGAGAUUAAAUUUAACUACGAAAUGU
ensembl:lncRNA